rnacentral:misc_RNA from 1 species
AAGAUUGCUGCACAAAAACAGAUUAAAAUCUCAUUUAGGAAAGAAGCAAAGCCAUACAUGAAAAGAAUAAGAAUGUGCCACCAACAACCGAAAUCCCAUGAAACCUCCCAGAAAAUGUUAUCACCAAGGGCUCACCAAAAUAAAUAUAGAGCUUCUAAAAGGCUUGGAGAGAAUAAACAGCUAAAGAAUUGCAUCACACGAAUGAUAUAAUCAUAAAUAUCACAUAUAAAUCAAAUUUUAAAAUAAAUUCUACUUGUAUUAGAAGUACAACUUUGACUAGAGAGAAUGCACAAAAAUAGGCUACACGGGAACAAAAGAAAAGAAAACAAAAUUAUAUAUACCACCCAAACUUUAUCCAGUGUAUUACAAGAUUUCCUAGCAAAAGCUAUACCAGUUGGAAAUCAACAGCUUAAAAAUCAGUAUAUUCUGAAUAAACGAUCAUUAGCUGGAAAACAAACACUCCUUAGUCCUUACUAAAAUAGCAAUCCAGUCAUGGCAAAUCAGCAAAAACACACGCGCG